CAGUCGCCACGGGAAUACGAAGGGGGCUAGCGUUGUUCGGAAUUACUGGGCGUAAAGGGCGCGUAGGCGGCCAUUCAAGUUAGAUGUGAAAGCCCUGGGCUCAACCUAGGAAUUGCAUUUGAUACUGUUUGGCUUGAGUUCGGGAGAGGUGAGUGGAAUUCCCAGUGUAGAGGUGAAAUUCGUAGAUAUUGGGAAGAACACCAGUGGCGAAGGCGGCUCACUGGACCGACACUGACGCUGAGGCGCGAGAGCUAGGGGAGCAAACAGGAUUAGAUACCCGCGUAGUCCCUGUCUCUUAUAC
rnacentral:rRNA from 1 species